CACCGGCGCCACAAGUGGCAUCCGUAUUUAUUUGGCCUAAAGCGUCCGUAGCUGGUUUGAUAAAUCUCUUGUGAAAUCGUUGAGCUCAACUCAACGACGUGCAGGAGACACUAUCUUACUUGGAACCGGGAGGAGUUAGAGGUAUUCUUUGGGGAGCGGUAAAAUGCUAUAAUCCUUAGAAGACCGCCUGUGGCGAAGGCGUCUAACUAGAACGGAUUCGACAGUGAGGGACGAAAGCCAGGGGAGCGAUCCGGAUUAGAUACCCGAGUAGUCCUGGCUGUAAACUCUGCGAGCUAGGUGUUGCAUAUUCUCAGUGGAUGUGCAGUAUCGUAGCGAAGGCGUUAAGCUCGCCGCCUGGGAAGUAUGGUCGCAAGACUGAAACUUAAAGGAAUUGGCGGGGGAAAGCACUACAAGGGGAUGAGGCGUGCGGUUCAAUUGAAUUCAACACCGGAAAUCUCACCAGCAGCGACGGCAGAAUGAAAGUCAGAUUGAAGGUCUUACUUAACAAGCCGAGAGGUGGUGCAUGGCCGCCGUCAGCUCGUGCCGUAAGGUGUCCAUUUUAAGUAUGGUAACGAGCGAGAUCUGCGCUCACAAUUGCUAACAAGUUCUUUCGAAUGAUUGAGCACAUUGUGAGGACUGCCUUGGAAACAAGGAGGAAGGUGCAGGCCACGGUAGGUCUGUAUGCCCCGAAUCUGCUGGGCUACACGCGCGCAACAAUGGUAGGAACAAUGGGCUACAACUCCGAAAGGAGAAGUUAAACCUCGAAAUCCUAUCUAAGUCCAGAUUGAGGAUUGUAACUCAUCCUCAUGACGCUGGAAUCCCUAGUAAUUCGGAAGUCAACAGCUUU
rnacentral:rRNA from 1 species